CAGCAACAUUCUUGGGACAUUCGUUCAGUGUCUCGUGUUUCACCUACAGACAUGCUGACUAGACUGAACAGGAUUCUUGGGAGACAGGAUGGUGAGCACAGAGAGAUCAGAGGAAGGCAGAAGGAUGAUGGCCUUCAGUCUCCAUGUCACACAUCAAGAAAUAAAUGGUUCUGGGGAAAGUGCAAGAUCAGGAAGUGAUGACAUCUAAAGAUCAGGUUCAAGAAGGGAAGAGAGUUCUGAAACUCAAAACAGAAAUGGUAAGGCUGAUGAAGAACAUAUUGGAAACACAAUUGAAAAAACUUCAUUCCAUCAAAAGCUGGUGAUGUAACCAAUUCAGAAAUACACAACUUGAAGGAUAAUAUUCAAGCUGUGCAAUUAUAAUCAACUAGAGAUGAUUUCCAAGGACAGACUAUGACAUCAGACCAGGCAUGUCACCUUAAAGACAGUAAAAAGAUGCAAUCAACUGCAGAAAAGCGCCAACAGGAUGCUAAUAUGCCUGAAAAAGGAGUGCUUGGCUGUUAUCAUGGCCAGGCUGUUCAGUCUAAGAUUAAUUCAUUUAGAAAGCUUCCAAAUGUCAACAGUGAGAGUCUUGCAACAAGCAAGAAACUUCCCGCUACUGUGUCUAAAGCUGAAAAGUCUCAGUCUGUGUCAGUAAAUGCCAUCAGCAUAAGAGCCUCAAGUGGGACUGCUCCACCAAGUUUGUCAACACGAAAUCUGCGAGCACUCUGUCGAAGAACACACUUGUGGGACAUCCUGUUAGAAGCCUCCACAGUAAUACCCAGGGCACUGCAAAAGAGGGCCUUGGCAGGACCCUUGCCAAUGUUACAAUCAGAAAAUGGCCUCUUAAAAAAAGAAUCACUAUCUGGUGUCAACACCCAUCCUCAGAACAGAAAGAUAGAAGGCACCAUCAAGAAGUGUGACAUCUGAAGGUGCAGCCAUACUAAUUUGUCUAAUACCAGAGGAUAGAGAAGUAAAAAAAUAUUGACCAGCGCAGAUACACAGCAGUAGGAGCAACUAUUCAUAGAUCAGUUCAGCCCAGAGAAACCACAGAAGAGAGAAAACUCCCCCACAGUCUGUAUGCAGUGAAAGUUGUAUUCCUGGAUUCAGAAAAUCCCUCCCAGAAGGAAAUGUGGCUUGUUGUUUUAACUGCACUCUAUGCCCAGAGAAUGAGAUUUCCAAUG